UUGCACUCUGCUGACGACCGGCGCACGGGUGCGUAACGCGUAUGCAAUCUACCUCUUACUGAGGGAUAGCCCAUGGAAACGUGGAUUAAUACCUCAUAGUAUUAUAGACUGGCCUCAGUUUAUGAUUAAAGGUUACGGUAAGAGAUGAGCAUGCGUCCUAUUAGCUAGAUGGUAAGGUAACGGCUUACCAUGGCAACGAUAGGUAGGGGUCCUGAGAGGGAGAUCCCCCACACUGGUACUGAGACACGGACCAGACUCCUACGGGAGGCAGCAGUGAGGAAUAUUGGACAAUGGGCGAGAGCCUGAUCCAGCCAUGCCGCGUGCAGGAAGACGGCCCUAUGGGUUGUAAACUGCUUUUACAGAGGAAGAACCCUCCUUACGAGUAAGGAGCUGACGGUACUCUAUGAAUAAGGAUCGGCUAACUCCGUGCCAGCAGCCGCGGUAAUACGGAGGAUCCAAGCGUUAUCCGGAAUCAUUGGGUUUAAAGGGUCCGUAGGCGGGUUUAUAAGUCAGUGGUGAAAGUCUGCAGCUUAACUGUAGAACUGCCAUUGAUACUGUAGACCUUGAAUUAGUAUGAAGUGGUUAGAAUGUGUAGUGUAGCGGUGAAAUGCAUAGAUAUUA
rnacentral:rRNA from 1 species